AGGGCGGUGAAGGGGGCGUGGCAGGUUAGUAACGGAGAGGCGGCAAUCGAGAAUUUGAUGUUCAUCUUGGCAAGCUGGAUGGUUGGAUGGCAGCUGGGACGGAAGCUUACGACUUGCGGAAAGUGCCAAAUAUACACAGUGAGAAAAAAGAAACAUCAAAAUCAAAAAGUGCUCUUGGCAUCAAAUUCAUGGCCUAUGGAGGCGGUUGGGGGGUCGCCGUUGACAGCCAGAGAGCGUGUCUAAUGAAGCCUCUCGAGAGCUCCGCCAGCGUAACAACUGAAAUCCCAUACCCAUACCCAUAUCCAUACUGCGCUGCGCCAUUCGCCUCCAGCGGAAUGCUUAACAGAAUUUGGGGAAUCAAGAGCCAGAUGAGGAGGAGAUGGUAAUGGAAAUGGCAAUGGAUCCGCCGCCAGAUGUUGCAUAAAUCUUUCGCAACUCCCUCAAUUAUAUGGAGCUUUGAAGCAAAUCACAUUUUGUAAUUAAAGAACGCAGUUUGUUUCGAAAUGUUAUUUUCGAAAUGUUUUUUAAUCGCUUUAGUGUUAAUGAACGAGAAAUAAACAAAAAAAACAAGGCAAAAAAAAAAAUAACAAGAUUUAAAGUUGACGUGCUAACCCAAUCAACAAUUGCACUCUUUUCUCCACCUGCAAGAGCGUCUUUUAAGAGAAAAGAGUGGCCAACAAAGGUAAACAAAGUGGAGUCUCAGAGUACAUUGUAAUCCCAGAUGGUGGAGCAGAUGGUGGAGCCGAUGAGAGCGGAGAGUGUGAAGAAAAAGAGCUGCUACUCUCUUCUGAGUGCACUGAGACAACAUAUGUAAACGUGAGAAGACCGAAGAGCUGGGUGGCUGGGGCAGGGCAGGUGGGGCUCGGCGGGGGGUGCUAUGACUAGAUGGCUGGCUGGCAGCAGAAAAACCCGAUUUGGACUUUGGACCCGAGUCUCCGAAAUGCCAAAUGGACUUUGGACUGGCACUCGCCUAGUGAGUGUUGUUUUGUUGCCGUUGCCGUUGCUGCCUUGCUGCCUUGCUGUUUGCUUCUCUCACCCGUCCGUCUCUGGUUUGCAGUUGUGUUUAUUGUGCGAACAAACACCCUACCCUCGCCUCCCCUGGCACCGGUGAUCGCAACUGUUUGGCGUUUGCUUAUGUAGUUUAAUGGCCCCCCCCAGCCGAAAACCGAAAUCCAAACUGUAACUGUAACUCAAGCCAUGACGUCAGUGGAGAUGGAUCGUCUUUGUACUUUGAACCCUGGAAGUGUGUUGGGGCGGCCAGGCCACCAUCCGAUUUGCAUCUGCAGCAUUGUAUUAAGGCCGAUUAAAUGCCUUUUGAGCGCUCCACGUGUAAUAAAAAGAGAGUGAGUGGGAUUAACUAGUGAGAGCGAUCAGCGAUGCUAAGCAGCUUAGUUCUCUUUCGAGAGAGAUAUAAACAAAUAGAUAGACGGGAAAGAUAAAGAAAUACCUACAGAAAGCAUUGGCUAUAAACGGUUAGAACUCGUUCGUUUUGUAUUUAUUUUUUUCAUUUUUAUUUUACUUUUUUUUUUAAAUUUUUUUGUAUUUAUUGCGAUGGUUGGCGGCAGCGGGUCAUGCGCCCGUCGAGUGAUCACCUAUCCCCCUCUCAGUCACUCACGAUGACAGAUGAGUCUGACAGGGAGGGGGUGAGGCGGUUGUGGAGCUGGAGAAGAGUGGGGGACAGCUGCACCUCUUUUUGUGCAAAU